rnacentral:rRNA from 1 species
GACGUAGGGCGCGAGCGUUGUCCGGAUUUAUUGGGCGUAAAGAGCUCGUAGGCGGUUCGGUAAGUCGGGUGUGAAAACUCUGGGCUCAACCCAGAGAGGCCACCCGAUACUGCUGUGACUAGAGUGCGGUAGGGGAGCGGGGAAUUCCUGGUGUAGCGGUGAAAUGCGCAGAUAUCAGGAGGAACACCAGCGGCGAAGGCGCCGCUCUGGGCCGUAACUGACGCUGAGGAGCGAAAGCAUGGGUAGCAAACAGG